CGCAAACGGUGGCGUAGUAGCCUAAUGUGUCAACCGUUUGUGGCGUUAUAAUGUGUGCAACAGAACAGCCUAACGUGCAUCAUGCCGAGUGAGGCUCAAUGGCCUCUUGCUCAUCUCCUACAGUUUUGAGUGUCCAAGGAAGGCAGAAUUCUCCGACAGGGACUGAUCAUAAAAGAAACCAAACACAAUAUCAUUGUCAAACGCAUUGUCCAGGAGGAGAGAGGAACUUCUCUGACUUCUGCAGGGCUCAUCAGACCUACAGCGUUGCCACACAGACUCUCCUGACGUCUUUCCCCCCACCCCCAUCUGUCCCGCGGAACAACUCAACCGCAGGUUCGCCAACGUUGACAGAUUGCUCCUCAGGUUCUCCAUCUGUGGACAUUCAGCCAGAGCCGGAGACGAUCUCAGUGAAGGAGAAUAUGGAACCAGUUAUGUCCGCUGGUCAGGGCGCUGACCAAAUCAGAGAGGUCGGGGAUGAGGUCACCAAUAUCCUUCAGAGAACAGUGGGUGAUUAGAUAAUGACCAUUUGUUCCACGACAGCAUAACACAGUUUGGCUUAGCAACCACGUCAUUCCAUGAAGAAAAAAACUAAAUUAAUUGAAAAAUCUGAUGGUGUUUCAUUAAAGACACAACUAUGCUAAAAAAGUGCAUUCAUCCCAUUGGCACUUCUCCACAUCACUUCAAUAUGAUUUAUUUGGUAAAUUUGUGGGACAUUUUCUGCACAUGUAUGUACU